UAAGACGAACCGUGCGAACGUUAUUCGGAAUCACUGGGCUUAAAGGGCGCGUAGGCGGGUUGCCAAGUCUGUGGUGAAAUCCUCCGGCUUAACCGGAGAACUGCCGUGGAUACUGGCGACCUCGAGGGGGGUAGGGGCUUGCGGAACUGUGCGUGGAGCGGUGAAAUGCGUUGAUAUGCACAGGAACUCCGGUGGCGAAGGCGGCGAGCUGGACCCUUUCUGACGCUGAGGCGCGAAAGCCAGGGGAGCGAACGGGAUUAGAUACCCCGGUAGUCCUGGCCCUAAACGAUGAGAACUAGGUAGUAGGUUAGACAUAGACUUACUGCCGAAGCAAAAGUGCUAAGUUCUCCGCCUGGGGAGUAUGGCCGCAAGGCUG
rnacentral:rRNA from 1 species